GGGGCUGAUUUAGGAUUCGACGGGAUAUCUUGUAUUUGAAGUGCAUGCCGAGGUGGGGUAGGCCUCGUAAAACAGCCUCAAAAAAUAACUGCAAAUAGUACACGUAGUGAAUCUGUUGCUUUGGCAGCUUAAAUCAGAUUGAUAAUUUGAAGGUUCCCUCUCAUAUUUAGUAUUUACUCUUAGAUAUUAAACAUAAAAUUGGUAAGAGAGGUCAUAGAGAUAAGAGUGCACGUGAAAGUUUGCUUUUUGACUUAGCGUUAAGUAAUUAUAAAAAAGGCUAGUGGGUUUAGUGAUUGGUCUUAAUAUAUCUAAAUCGAUUAAAUACAAUUUAAGACCUAAGCAUGUAGGUGACUAAGAAUAAUUAGAAUUCUGGACGCGGGUUCAAAUCCCGCCAGCUCCACCA
rnacentral:tmRNA from 1 species